UGUUGUGCUUCCCUCAUUACAAUGGUGCCUACACUUUGAAACAUGCUUCAUCAGAUCUCAAGACCUUUUGAACAUCCUGAGGUCACUAUAUAAAGCACCCUGCAGUGACCCAGCUCGCAAUGAUUUCAACAGCACUCUCUGAUGACCUCAAAUCAGGAAGCCUUGCUGUGAAAACCUGACAGCGCACGGGAAGAUUCACCCAAACAAUAACAGCGUUUCCAUGGCCACUGAAUGAGGGCCAAUGGUCCCCACAGCUCUGCAAUCAAUGAUGCAACUUCCUGUUGAAAGGGAGCAUUGGCCAUUCAAGCAGCGCAUUCCAAAUCACAACAACACACCCUGUUUUAAUAAAGUCUUUCCUCUCCAUG